GUCUCACACUAGGAAAAAGUUUCAAUAACAUGGUUUCAUAGAAUGUUCCUCUCCGGGGGCUGAAUGCAGCUACUGCUCCAUGCAGAAAAAAAUAUCUGUCCUUUGGGUGAGGGCAGAAGGAGGGUGUCUGCUUUCAUUGCAUGCUGCUUUUCAGAUGCAGCAUUUUCACCGUUGGUCCUGCAGGUUACCUUCAAAAUAACUCCUGGGGUAAAGACAAGUUUCAGUGAUUAGUGAAGGUGAUUUUCAGUCGGUGAAGAAGUUGGUAUGGGAGGCAGGAUUUACAGUCACCUACCUACUGAAGUGACUGACACAUGCAGGAUUUCAGAAGCAAGCAGGUGGGGAACUGACUGAAGGAUUUUUCCAAACAAGUGGAAUUUAGAAGAUUUUUCCCAAACCCUCCAAAGACAAACCAAAGAGGGAGAAGAGCUGGUACUUUCUUUAUAGGCUUUUGACCUCCCAAAGGACAUAUGUCACCCUCUCAAGAAUCUGUGCAUUCAUCAGGUUGUUCUUUUGAUCACAUCAUUCAACCCUAAUUUUCUUUCCGUGUUUGGAUUGUGUCAUUGCAUUUCAGACCCACCAAACAAUCCAAUGCCAGUGCAAUGUCCUUAAACUAAAUCUGUCAUCAGAACAGGGAGGAGGGCAUGGUGCUGAUAAAAAAUACAUACAGGAAAGAUUUUCACCCUAAAGUUAGGCACCUAAAUCCAUAUAUAGGUACUUAAAUAAGUGGUUUGGUUUUCCACACCUCUGUGGAAAUUAGCUGCUAAGUGCUCAGCACUUUUGAAAACCUGGCCACUUCUUUAGGUGCCUAAAUAUGGAUUUAUGAGGCUAACUUUAGACACCCCAGUUUGGAAAUCUUGGCCAUAUACCUUUACAUCUCAUCCAAUGUAAAACUUUCAGUAGAUGGGAAAGAAAGUUGUAGUUUUCAGAACGAUCCUUCCCCAUUUGUUUAAAAACAAAACCAUACCCAUGGUGGUCAAAUGGGGCUGUUAGCAGCCCAGAGAGAAGAACUGACUUCCCUUCCCCCAACUUGCCACCAGCACCUCCUUUGAGUAGACAAAAGAAACCUAGAGAGGGUGAGAGGGCUAAUCUCUCUGAGAAAAACAAGUGAUUUUCCAGUAAACAACUGCAACAGCAAACAAAGAGGGUGAACAAUAAUGAUAAUCAAAAACUAUAUUGUAAGGAAGAGAUGACCCCAUCAUGUGAGGUGUCUCACCGGCUCAGUGAAAACAACCAGCAUUUUGGGUGAGCCUUCAUCAACAACAUCACCACGGACAACAAA